UUUUGUCAUGUUUCAAGUUUAUAUAAAGUUUUGCUACUAACAUCUUGGGGUCAGCGUUUCUGUCUCAGCCACAAGCGCAUCACAAAUUCAAAAGACCCUCACUGCCUCUCUAGCGACUUAAGGAGGAAUCAGGAAGUCGCAAUAGUGUGAUUGGUAGACCAAUGAAGUACGAGCAGCCAUACAAUUUAAGGACUUGUAUUUUGACGGGUAUGCGGUGUCCUGUUGAUUUUGGGCUUUUUGCUUCCUGGCAUUCCCCUUUCUAUGAUGUGCUCCUUUUUGUUACCCGUUUACGUUCAGGUCUUGUCUUGGGGGUGGCUUUGUGACCUUGGGAAAUUUGAGCAUCUCUUGGUGCUGCGUACGGAGAAUUGAAAAUGUCAGAGUCAUUCUCUCUCCACCUUGAUAAGCCUCUAUUAAAAAUUGUUCCUGGAAUCACCAGCAAGCAGAAAAAAGGCAGCCUGAAGAUUGAAGGAGACUGCACAAGUGAAGGCCCUGAGAGUCUCUCCAGGCCACAGUCCGGGACCCUGCCGUCCAUAUGUCUGGGUCUGCUUGGAGAAGAGAAUAAAGACACAGAGCCUUAUUAGCAUUGCUCUCGGGGCUGGCAGGUGUUUGGUGCAGAUGGGCCAGUGAACAGAAUCUUCCUCUUCCACAGCCAUUCGCUUCUGACUAAACCUGUCCAGGGGCCUCCUGACCUCUGACUGCACACUGUGAGUCCCUUUCUUCAUUUAAAUGUACAGGGGGCUUUGUGUCAGGCACGGUGUGAUCUUCAUUGGGUUUAUAGUCUGUGAUAAAUGUCAGAUGGUGUGACUGAUGUCUCUUGUGUGUAUGUGUGUAUGUGUGUUAAUUUCCAUUAUGUUUUUUUUUUUUUUUUUUUUUUACAGAUUCUUCUGCACUAAUUUAACAAAAAAAAAAAAAAAAAAAACACCUGAGCAUCACAUGAGCUUCACAUUGUUUAUUGUUGUUGUUUAGACUUUAUUAAUCCCAAAGGGAAAUUCACGUUA
rnacentral:lncRNA from 1 species